rnacentral:rRNA from 1 species
CAGUAGGGAUCUUCCGCAAUGGGCGAAAGCCUGACGGAGCAACGCCGCGUGAGUGAUGAAGGGUUUCGGCUCGUAAAACUCUGUUAUUAGGGAAGAACAAAUGUGUAAGUAACUGUGCACAUCUUGACGGUACCUAAUCAGAAAGCCACGGCUAACUACGUGCCAGCAGCCGCGGUAAUACGUAGGUGGCAAGCGUUAUCCGGAAUUAUUGGGCGUAAAGCGCGCGUAGGCGGUUUCUUAAGUCUGAUGUGAAAGCCCACGGCUCAACCGUGGAGGGUCAUUGGAAACUGGGAAACUUGAGUGCAGAAGAGGAAAGUGGAAUUCCAUGUGUAGCGGUGAAAUGCGCAGAGAUAUGGAGGAACACCAGUGGCGAAGGCGACUUUCUGGUCUGUAACUGACGCUGAUGUGCGAAAGCGUGGGGAUCAAACAGGAUUAGAUACCCUGGUAGUCCACGCCGUAAACGAUGAGUGCUAAGUGUUAGGGGGUUUCCGCCCCUUAGUGCUGCAGCUAACGCAUUAAGCACUCCGCCUGGGGAGUACGACCGCAAGGUUGAAACUCAAAGGAAUUGACGGGGCCCCC